rnacentral:rRNA from 1 species
GUGGGGAAUAUUGCACAAUGGGGGAAACCCUGAUGCAGCAACGCCGCGUGAGUGAUGACGGCCUUCGGGUUGUAAAGCUCUGUCUUCAGGGACGAUAAUGACGGUACCUGAGGAGGAAGCCACGGCUAACUACGUGCCAGCAGCCGCGGUAAUACGUAGGUGGCAAGCGUUGUCCGGAUUUACUGGGCGUAAAGGGAGCGUAGGUGGAUAUUUAAGUGGGAUGUGAAAUCCCCGGGCUUAACCUGGGUGCUGCAUUUCAAACUGGAAGUCUAGAGUGCAGGAGAGGAGAGUGGAAUUCCUAGUGUAGCGGUGAAAUGCGUAGAGAUUAGGAAGAACACCAGUGGCGAAGGCGACCCCCUGGACAAAGACUGACGCUCAGGUGCGAAAGCGUGGGGAGCAAACAGGAUUAGAUACCCGAGUAGUCC